rnacentral:sRNA from 1 species
AACCAACUUGAAGCUCACUUCAUCUUGUUGCAAGUUCAUUGGCAACCCAUUUUUGAUAUCAAUGCGCGGAUAUGACGAUAUCCAACUGUUCUCCCUUUUUGGAAUCGUGUUCAUUGUUCCCAAGGGGCAACGCUGGCUGAGUGUUCCAUAAAUGAAAUCGUUCGACUAAACUGCCGAGAACAACAGAUCAUUGAACCUUUACGGUGGACCGGUCGUCAAGUCGAACUAUUGCAAUGCAAAUUUGAAGUGUUGUCCCUAACACCAUCGGCGAUGGGCUUUACUACUUCUAAUGAAACUUCCGGCGGCCGAUUUGUGCGAGCACUUCCUAAUUCCGAGGAUCGUAGCUGGCGAGAGUAAAGAAUACGACAGAUUCUUUCGUCUCCUGAAUGCCAAUGUCCACUUACAGCCUUAAAUAAUCUUCCGUUUGGCUUUGAUCGUUGCCACAUCAGUUAUCUUCCCUGUCUUGUCUUCUUUCCCCUGUGUUGGAUCUGUCUGGUGGGGGGGUUGCUGUUGAUCUGAAAACUUUCAGGUGAAAUAUGCUUUCUAUGCUCCAGUUUCUUCCAUUCUCUCACCAAUCGUUCGGCUGUCAUUGUUGGAUGAAUGGUGGAGUCUGCCCAUAAAAGAGGGGAUAAUGCAACCCAGAUAUAGCCAAUGCUGUCAAGUCCAUAGGCACGAACAAGCAGCUUAGAGGUUUGGCGACGAGCUAGCUAUGACUAUACAAUACUCCGAAGGAGACUCCAGCAUGAAACAUAAAAAGAUCUCGUGACAAUCAGGCAGGCAGGCUCACGGAUGUCUCUAUAAUUUCAGCAACGUCUAAGAGUGACUUGCAUGGAAAUAUAGAGCUACUCCCAGAUUUUCACUAAUUAAUUAAUCAAUGAAAAGUGAUAUAUUAUUUCUCCUGAACUCAAUCCAUUUGAGUCGGAAUCUGUCUAUCCAAGGACAGGCACAUGGAUGUACUCUGUA